rnacentral:rRNA from 1 species
UACGUAGGGGGCAAGCGUUGUCCGGAUUUAUUGGGCGUAAAGAGCGUGUAGGCGGCUAGAUAGGUCCGUUGUGAAAACUCGAGGCUCAACCUCGAGACGUCGAUGGAAACCAUCUGGCUAGAGUCCGGAAGAGGAGAGUGGAAUUCCUGGUGUAGCGGUGAAAUGCGCAGAUAUCGUGAGGAAGACCAGUGGCGAAGGCGGGUCUCUGGACAGUUCCUGACACUGAGGCACGAAGGCCAGGGGAGCAAACGGG